rnacentral:rRNA from 1 species
GCAGAGCACUUCUACGGGAGGCAGCAGUGGGGAAUAUUGCACAAUGGGCGCAAGCCUGAUGCAGCCAUGCCGCGUGUAUGAAGAAGGCCUUCGGGUUGUAAAGUACUUUCAGCAGUGAGGAAGGUGGGUAUGUUAAUAGCAUACUCAUUUGACGUUAGCUGCAGAAGAAGCACCGGCUAACUCCGUGCCAGCAGCCGCGGUAAUACGGAGGGUGCGAGCGUUAAUCGGAAUUACUGGGCGUAAAGCGCAUGCAGGUGGUUUGUUAAGUCAGAUGUGAAAGCCCGGGGCUCAACCUCGGAAUUGCAUUUGAAACUGGCAAACUAGAGUACUGUAGAGGGGGUAGAAUUUCAGGUGUAGCGGUGAAAUGCGUAGAGAUCUGAAGGAAUACCGGUGGCGAAGGCGGCCCCCUGGACAGAUACUGACACUCAGAUGCGAAAGCGUGGGGAGCAAACAGGAUUAGAUACCCUGGUAG